UUUAUUAAAUAUAUUACAUUCUUUUUAACUAGUGAGGGACAAAUCAAACUACUUUAUAAUAUGGUAUUUGAUGACCUGUAAUAACACUUGUUUCUACAUGUUGGAAACUUGCAAAUUGGCAAUUAAAUACAGAUUAUCAAAUCUUUCACAAUGGGUCCCAUGCCACUUGCGUUGUGAUAGCAAGGACCAAAUCCAAUGAACCACAGGCCACAAUCUGUUAUAAAUGCAACCAUUUCUUCACUUCACAUUCCUCCUAUUCAAUAACUCUACCUAAAUCACAAACACCACAUUCAUUCAAUUCUCAACAUUUAAAUACUUCAACAACAAGGUGUUGAUUAGUUCCAAAAAAACCAAAGUUCCCAUUUUCUCCUCUGCUUACGUCACUAUCGUUGCCGGAAUCUAGCGCAAACUAACCACCACCAUAUCCGGCGGCGGCUGAGAGAAACAUGAUCUUCGAGGGGCUAAAAAGGAAAACGAGCAUAAGAAGAAAAGAAAUGGGGCGUUGUUUUAGCUUAGGGGCUGUCUUGAUCAUGGCGGUGUUGACGGCGUCGAUGGUGGUGCUGCCGCUAGUGUUGCCGCCGCUUCCUCCUCCGCCUUUGGCCUUCCUCUUCUUUCCCGUCGGAAUAAUGGCGGCGCUCAUGUUGCUUGCGUUUUCGCCUUCUCAGGCUUCGGGAAACGUCGUCGUUUAUUCGUCUUAGGGAAAAUAAUAAUCGAAAUAGCUAAUUGAUACCACAUUUUUGGGUUUCUUGAAUGUUCUGUAUCUGUAUCUGAAAUUAGGUGCCACAUUUGUUACUUGUAGUUGCCACAUUUGUUUUUGUUUUUUGAAGAAAUGAAAAGGAAAUAUUCAUUGUAUUGCGAUAUGAAAUAUUUCAUUCAGUUUAAUUUAUAUUUCGUUAAGGUAAAGUUUGUUUAUAAAGUUAUUCAAUUAUUAUUACCCAUUAGUUAAUAAAAUGAUGAACACAUGUAUGGAGGAUGAGAAAAGAGUAGAGCGAGUAAAUAAAGAGAGGCAAGACUCAAUGGGAAUGAAUUUCUUUUUUUCAUUUUGCUAGAGAUUAUGGUGAAAGAAAAUAAAAGUGGUAAUGUGCACAACUUUUGGUUUCUUGAUUAGAGACAGAAGAGAUGCUAGCAAAG
rnacentral:lncRNA from 1 species